rnacentral:rRNA from 1 species
UACGUAGGGGGCAAGCGUUGUCCGGAAUCAUUGGGCGUAAAGCGCGUGUAGGCGGCUCGAUAAGUCUGCUGUGAAAGUCCAGGGCUCAACCCUGGGAUGCCGGUGGAUACUGUCGAGCUCGAGUCCGGAAGAGGCGAGUGGAAUUCCUGGUGUAGCGGUGAAAUGCGCAGAUAUCCGGAGGAACACCAAAGGCGAAGGCAGUGUCCUGGGGAGUACCUGACGCUCAGGUGCGAAAGCCAGGGGAGCGAACGGG